rnacentral:rRNA from 1 species
UAUCUCUGUAGAGUCUGCAUAUCAAUAAGCGGAGGAAAAGAAACUAACAAGGAUUCCCUUAGUAACGGCGAGUGAAGCGGGAAGAGCUCAAAUUUGAAAUCUUCAAGGUUUUACCUUGACGAAUUGUAGUUUAAAGAAGUGUUUUCUGUUGAAGUUUUGGUAAAAGUUCUUUGGAAUAGGACAUCAUAGAGGGUGAGAAUCCCGUAUUUGACCAGUUAUUUCCAGCUGUGUGAUACACUUUCAAAGAGUCGGAUUGUUUGGGAAUGCAGUCCAAAAUGGGUGGUAAAUUUCAUCUAAAGCUAAAUAUUGGCGAGAGACCGAUAGCGAACAAGUACCGUGAGGGAAAGAUGAAAAGAACUUUGAAAAGAGAGUUAAACAGUACGUGAAAUUGUCAAAAGGGAAGCGUUUGACACCAGUGUUGUUCUUCUCGAAAAUCAAUUAAAAAGUGGUGGAUUUUGUAUUGUUAUGACCUUAUCAGCUUACUGUACUUUUUUCCUGCUCUUUUUAAUGCACUUUUCGUUUAACAAGUCAACAUCAAUUUCUUUUGUUGUAAAAGAGUCAUUGGAAGGUGGCUUUCCUUUCGGAUGAAAGUGUUUAUAGCCUUUGGCUUCUGCAAUCGGAGAGAUUGAGGUCUGCAGCGUAGAUCCUUCGGGGUUAGAUACAUUUGUGCUAAGUUAUAGCCUUUCAUAGACAACUUGUUGACUAUGAUCAGUCAUGUAGCUUACUCGCUUAUGUUAUUUUACCUACGCUUAGGAUGUUGAUCUCUCACAGUCGAGC